AGAGAGGUGGCGGGGAGGAGAAAAUAAGAAACAAAAAUUCUGAGAUUAAGAAAGAACACAAAAAAUACAGAGCUGGAGCCAUUUUUCUCUUCUUCUUCCAAGACAAAAAAGAUGAGCUGAAAAACACAAAAAAAAAAAAAAAAAAAGAGAGAACGCCUGAAGAUCAUCGUCUUCAACACCAUACCAAACGACCCCUUCGUUCCAUUUUCCUUCUUCAUUCCAACAACUGCUUCCAGUAGCCUAACGCUGGACACAACACCUUGAACUCCAUCUUCUUCUUCAUGAAUACACGAGAGACCUAGGAGCUAAGCAGCGCCAUUGACGACCAAAGAAAAACGAUGUCACUCCUUCACCUUCAUCAAUCUCCAUGUUGAGCCGUCACUGCUGAUCUUUUCUUCUCCUUCUGCAACUCAUCUGAAACAGCCUGAAAAUCACGCACACACACAGAUCUCCAUCGCCACUGCUCCUUCUUCUUCGUCUAUCACAGCCAUGAAACCUACUUAAGCGCUUCAGUCUUGGUUCGAGUUUGUUUCGGGUUCGCCGGUUCGAGAUUUCUGUCUUAGUCUUCAGCUUACGGUCUGUUCAUGUUUGGCCAUAGUGUCGCAUUCUUCUUGUAACCAAUUGGAAGAUCUUAAUAUAUCGAAAGGAUUCAAAGUUUUCAGGUAAUUACAUUUCUUGGAGUUGAUAUUUUUUUUUUAACUCAUAUUGGUAAAUUUUCUAUUUCUAAUCACAUCUAAUUGAGUAGGUGUUCCGUUUCUUGUUAAUUUUCCAUUUCUAAUCAUACUCCCGUUGAGGUUUUCGCGUGCGUGUCUGUGUUGAUGUAUAGGUUGUUCUGUUUGAGUGCCCAGAAGUUGGUUAUUGUUGAUUUUCUAGCCUGAACACAUUCACUUUAUGUCUUGGCUGCGUUUCUUUUGAUUCACUUUUUUUUUGUCUAUUUUGUAUUUAUUUAUUUUUGAUUAAGUUCUACUAAGUGUUUAUAACUUUGUUUGAUGUUCAUUUUGUAUGAGUGCCGUUCUAAUGAGGCUUCAUCAUAUUGUAUGUGUUAUAGUUUUAAUUUUC